GAUGAACGCUGGCGGCGUGCCUAAUACAUGCAAGUCGAGCGAACAGAUAAGGAGCUUGCUCCUUUGAAGUUAGCGGCGGACGGGUGAGUAACACGUGGGUAACCUACCUAUAAGACUGGGAUAACUUCGGGAAACCGGAGCUAAUACCGGAUAACAUUUAGAACCGCAUGGUUCUAAAGUGAAAGAUGGUUUUGCUAUCACUUAUAGAUGGACCCGCGCCGUAUUAGCUAGUUGGUAAGGUAACGGCUUACCAAGGCGACGAUACGUAGCCGACCUGAGAGGGUGAUCGGCCACACUGGAACUGAGACACGGUCCAGACUCCUACGGGAGGCAGCAGUAGGGAAUCUUCCGCAAUGGGCGAAAGCCUGACGGAGCAACGCCGCGUGAGUGAUGAAGGGUUUCGGCUCGUAAAAUUCUGUUAUUAGGGAAGAACAAAUGUGUAAGUAACUGUGCACAUCUUGACGGUACCUAAUCAGAAAGCCACGGCUAACUACGUG
rnacentral:rRNA from 1 species